rnacentral:rRNA from 1 species
CCCUUAGAUGUCCUGGGCCGCACGCGCGCUACACUGAGUGUCUGAGAUACGAGUCUGCCUGGUCCGGCAAGGUCUAGGUAAUCGCUAAAAGACACAUCAUGCUUGGGAUAGAUUAUUGCAAAUAUUAAUCUUGAACGAGGAAUUCCUAGUAAGCGCAAGUCAACAGCUUGCGUUGAUUACGUCCCUGCCCUUUGUACACACCGCCCGUCGCUACUACUGAUUGGAUGUUUAAGCGAGGUUCUCGAACUGCUAGCGACUUAGCUUCGGUGAGGUCGCAGUGUGGGGAGUGAGCCUAGCUUUGGUGUCUAGAGGAAGUAAAAGUCGUAACA